rnacentral:snoRNA from 1 species
UGCACUUGAUGUUGGGCUUGCUUAGCUCAUAGACAAAAAGACUUAGACAAGUGGAAAAACAGAUCCUCUUUUGCAACCCAGAACUCAUCGUUGAAUGUGAGUUUUGAUACAGAUGAGAAGGAACAUG